GAUGAACGCUGGCGGCGUGCUUAACACAUGCAAGUCGAACGAAGCGCUUUGGACUGAUUCUUCGGAUGAAGUCCCUGGUGACUGCGUGGCGGACGGGUGAGUAACGCGUGGGUAACCUGCCUCAUACAGGGGGAUAACAGUUAGAAAUGGCUGCUAAUACCGCAUAAGCGCACGGUACUGCAUGGUACAGUGUGAAAACUCCGGUGGUAUGAGAUGGACCCGCGUUGGAUUAGCUAGUUGCAGGGUAACGCCUACCAAGGCGACGAUCCAUAGCCGGCUGAGAGGGUGGACGGCCACAUUGGGACUGAGACACGGCCCAGACU
rnacentral:rRNA from 1 species